rnacentral:misc_RNA from 1 species
AAUCUGAAGCCGCACGAAGUUACGGCAUUGGGCCUGGUGCGGACGUUUCAGCGCACCAGCGUGUUCCAGAGUGUCAGCGUGUUCGAGAAUGUCAUGAUCGGCCUGCAUCGCCGCGGCCGCUCGCNNNGGCGCUGCCGCGGGAGCGUGAGUCUGAAAAGGAACUGCGGACACGCGCGGCGGAAAUCCUGGCGCUGGUUGGUAUUGAACGCCGCUCGCGUGAAAUGGCAGGCUCGCUCGCCUAUGG